rnacentral:rRNA from 1 species
GACGUAGGAUGCAAGCGUUGUCCGGAUUUAUUGGGCGUAAAGAGUUCGUAGGCGGUUCGUUAAGUCUGGUGUUAAAGACUGGGGCUCAACCCUGGGAGUGCACUGGAUACUGGCGGACUGGAGUGCAGUAGAGGCAAGCGGAAUUCCAGGUGUAGCGGUGAAAUGCGUAGAUAUCUGGAAGAACACCGGUGGCGCAAGCGGCUUGCUGGGC